rnacentral:tRNA from 1 species
GGAUCGCGCCCUCCAGGGUUUCAUGCGCCAGAAGCACCGACUCUUAAUCAGCGGGUCGUAGGUUCGAUCCCUACUGUGCCCACCA